AGUCUACGCAGCCGCUUGCAAGCGGGCGGGGGCGGCGUGUGAGGCGCAGCGGACGGGGUUGUGGGCUCAGUAGCGGCAGCUUCAGGGCGCGAGCGCGGGCGGUGCCGGCCACUGCAGGUAACAGAGGCGCUGAGAGGGCAGCCGCGGCCCUGUGGAGAUGAGGAAAUUGAGGCACAGAGAUUAACUAAUCUGAACCAGAUAAUGCCAUAAGUAGUAGAACUGGGAUGCAAACUUGGACAGUCUGACUCCAGAGUCUGCACACUUAACCACUCCACUAUUCUGGCCUUCAACAAGAUGCAGUGCCUGGCACAUAGUGAUGGCUCAGUAAAUGUUUGAAUAAAUGCCAAAAGAUGAGUCGUGGAUAUUCAGAAAACAACAAUUUCCUGAACAAUAAUAACCAAAUGGUAUUGGACAUGAUCCUUUAUCCAUUAAUUGGAAUCCCUCAGACUAUCAACUGGGAAACUAUAGCAAGGCUCGUGCCUGGAUUAACACCGAAAGAGUGUGCAAAAAGGUUUGAUGAAUUAAAGAGCAGUGGAAGCUCACCUGUUGACAACCAGUAUAAUUCCCUAAUGGCUGCUGGAGAGAGUCCUGUUGAAACUUUAGCCACAUAUAUCAAAUCCUCACUUCUUGACAUACAUGGAGAAUUUCAGGAGACUCCAGUUGGACAUGAUGCAGUUUCCAAAACAGGAAGACAUAGUAUAGCUUCCACAAGGAACUGUUCUUCAGAAAGUGAAAAUUGUACUACUCAUAAUGGUGGAGAAAUGACUGAAGAAUCUGAAGGGCCAAACAUGGUGAUCCAUGUGUGUGAUGAAGCAAAGAACUUGAAAGAAGAUUUUACUUGCCCGCGAGAUCUUUUGAUAUCAGAAAUGAAGUACUUUGCUGAAUAUUUAUCUAUGGAUGCCCAGCGCUGGGAAGAGGUGGACAUUUCAGUUCAUUGUGACGUUCACAUUUUCAACUGGUUGAUAAAAUAUGUUAAAAGGAACGCUAAGGAGAAUAAAGAUUGUGAGAUGCCCACUUUAGAGCCAGGAAAUGUCAUUUCAAUUCUUAUUUCUUCGGAGUUUUUAAAAAUGGAUUCACUAGUUGAACAGUGUGUUCAGUAUUGCCACAAAAAUAUGAAUGCCAUAGUAGCUACCCCAUGCAACAUGAACUGUAUUAAUGCAAAUCUUCUCACACGUAUAGCUGAUCUGUUCACACACAAUGAAGUUGAUGAUUUAAAGGACAAAAAAGAUAAAUUUAAAAGCAAACUUUUUUGUAAGAAGAUUGAAAGACUGUUUGAUCCUGAGUACUUGAAUCCAGAUUCUCGGAGUAAUGCAGCAACAUUGUAUAGAUGCUGUUUGUGUAAGAAACUUUUAACAAAAGAAACAGAAAGAAGAAUUCCUUGCAUUCCUGGAAAAAUCAAUGUGGAUCGACAUGGAAAUAUUGUCUAUAUUCACAUAAGGUGUCGUGAAGAUAAAAUACAUACAUAUAUUUUUGUAUAUAUAUAUAUGUAGUUGUUGUUGUUGUUGUUGUUUUGGAGACGGAGGCUUACUCUGUCACCCAGGCUGGCGUGCAAUGGUGUGGUCUUGGCUAACUGCAACCUCCGCCUCCCAGGUUCAAGCGAUUCUCCUGCCUCAGCCUCCCGAGUAGCUGGGACUACAGACAUGUGCCACCACACCCAGCUAGUUUUUGUAUUUUUAGUAGAGAUGGAGUUUCACUAUGUUGGCCAGGCUGGUCUCGAACUCCUGACCUCAUGAUUUGCCCACCUCGGCCUCCCAAAGUACUGGGAUUACAGGUGUGAGCCACCACGCCAAGCCCAGAUUUUUUUUAAAUGUGAAUUUCUGGCAUAUUUAUAAAAAUAUAACUACUUUUAUAAGGAAUGGGAUAACAUCUUUUCUGCACGUUAUCCAACUUUCAUUUAGAAAAAUACUUUCUAAACAAGGUAGUUGUUAGUACAUUUUAUUUACUGGGUAAAUGUCAUAAUGUUUUAAACAUUAAAAUGAUAAAAAUUAUUGUAUAUUAAUCUUGAAAGGUAUUCUGGUUAGUGCCUUUAAAAUGCUCUCUUUUCACUAACAGAUUUUAGUUAUCUGUACAAAUGUUAUAUUGAAUUUUACAAGAGAACCAAAUUUACUUUCAGGUAAAUUUUGGUGAGGAAAAUUGUCUUUAGCGUUGGAUUUUCUGUCAUCUGUUUGUUCUUCAUACUUUGUCAGUAUUUCAUUAAUAUGUAGGCCGGGCGCAGUGGCUCACACCUGUAAUCCCAGCACUUUGGGAGGCCAAGUCAGGUGGAUCACCUGAGGUCAGGAGUUUGAGACCAGCCUGACCAACAUGGUGAGACCCCGUCUCUACUACAAAAAACUAGUCGAGCGUGGUGGCGGGUGCCUGUAGUCUCAGCUACUUGGGAGGCUGAAGCAGGGGACUCACUUGAACCCAGGAGGCGGAGGUUGCAGUGAGCCGAGAUAGUGCCACUGCACUCCAGCCUGGUGACAGAGCAAGAUUCCGUCUGAAAACAAUAAAUAAAUAAAAUAAAAAUUAGCCGGGCAUGGUGGUGCACACCUGUAACCCAGCUACUUGGGAGGCCAAGGCAGGAGAAUCACUUGAACCCAGGAGGCAGAGGUUGCAGUGAGCCGAGAUCACACCAUUGCACUCCAGCCUGGACAACAAGAGUGAAACUCC
rnacentral:sRNA from 1 species